UGCCAGCCGCCGCGGUAAUACGGAGGGGGCAAGCGUUGUUCGGAAUUACUGGGCGUAAAGCGCGCGUAGGCGGCGAUGAUAGUCAGAGGUGAAAUGCCCGGGCUCAACCCGGGAGGUGCCUUUGAUACUUCAUUGCUAGGAUUCAGGAGAGGUGAGCGGAAUUCCGAGUGUAGAGGUGAAAUUCGUAGAUAUUCGGAAGAACACCAGUGGCGAAGGCGGCUCACUGGCCUGAGAUCGACGCUGAGGUGCGAAAGCGUGGGGAGCAAACAGGAUUAGAUA
rnacentral:rRNA from 1 species